rnacentral:rRNA from 1 species
GACAGAGGGUGCGAACGUUGUUCGGAAUUACUGGGCGUAAAGCGCAUGUAGGCGGCAGCGCAAGUCGGGCGUGAAAUCCCACGGCUCAACCGUGGAAGUGCACUCGAAACUGCGCAGCUAGAGUCCUGGAGAGGAAGGUGGAAUGCUUGGUGUAGAGGUGAAAUUCGUAGAUAUCAAGCGGAACACCGGUGGCGAAGGCGGCCUUCUGGACAGUGACUGACGCUGAGGAGCGAAAGCGUGGGGAGCAAACAGG